rnacentral:rRNA from 1 species
UACGAAGGACCCGAGCGUUAUCCGGAUUUAUUGGGUUUAAAGGGUGCGUAGGCGGACUUUCAAGUCAGUGGUGAAAGCCCAUCGCUCAACGAUGGAAUUGCCAUUGAUACUGUUGGUCUUGAGUACGGUUGAAGUGGGCGGAAUGUGUCAUGUAGCGGUGAAAUGCUUAGAUAUGACACAGAACACCUAUUGCGAAGGCAGCUCGCUAAACCGUAACUGACGCUGAGGCACGGAAAGUGAU